rnacentral:rRNA from 1 species
CACGGGGGGAGCAAGCGUUAUUCGGAAUCACUGGGCUUAAAGCGCGUGUAGGCGGGACGGCACGUCGGUCGCUGAAAGCCCCCGGCUCAACCGGGGAACGGGCGCCGAGACGACCGCCCUGGAGGGACGUAGGGGGACCUGGAACUUCCGGUGGAGCGGUGAAAUGCGUUGAGAUCGGAAGGAACGCCCGUGGCGAAAGCGAGGUCCUGGACGUCUGCUGACGCUGAGACGGCGAAAGCCAGGGGAGCCGGAAC